CAUAGAUGAUUAGUUAGUUUGGUGUGAAGUAAUAUUGACAAACUAGGAGUUGCCUCAUCCUAGGACCACCCCCUCCCCCGCAACCAUUUAAUUCAUGAUUGUCCUUUUUUUUUAAGAGACAAAAGGGAUCUAUGUCUAGGAUAAAGACAAGCCAGAACCAAGAGGACUUGGGAACAGCAGUAAUGCCUGGACCAUUGCUCUUGCUUCUAGGCCAGCCCCAUCUCAGAGCCAUCAUGGAGGAAAGCAACCCUUGUGGAGAUGUGGCUUGACUUCUGAAGAUUCUGCGCAUUAUCCUCUCCAAUUCCAUCUGUGUAGCCACAGUUACUGAAAACCCAGAAAAGAAAGUUCUUGACUUUGUUGAGUGGUUCAGGUUUUACUAGUAGAAUCAGCAGUAAUGAAGAGACAUGAUUAUCUGUUUUGCAGUUACACCCUAAAAUCCAUGGGACCUUUCCAUCUGAUUCAUCAUGUGUGCAUUAUCUCCCCCAUUAGAAUGUGGGCUCUUUGAGAUCAGAGUCUGGAUUGCUUUUCUAUUCAUAACUCUAGUGUUUAGUAAAUAGCAUGCAAAUAAUAAAUGCUUCCUCAAUCAUUCAUCCAAGCUGGGAUUCAACCUCCAUCAUCUUUACAAAUGAGGAAAUGGAGAGAGACCCAAAGAGACUAAGUAAUUUGCACAAGGCUGGUCACACAGUAAUUGCAAGACUUGAGUUUUGAACUCAGGGCUUCUGACUCCAAAUCCACCAUCAUUUCCACUAUAUCUCACUGUGUCUUGGUCAAUAUCAACUCCAAAAGACAGAGUGAUGAAUGAAAAUUAUGGGGAAGCAGAUUUAGUUUAUACUUAGUAUAAAGAAAGGCCUUUCUAUUUAUUGAAUUUGGCCAACAAUCAUGGUAUAACUCAUGUAGAAGUGGAAAUUUAGAAGAAUAAAGCAAAGACAUGAUUAUUUGGUAGAGAUUCUGUAAAAUGAUUUCUAUGUUGUUAAAGUCACUCCACAAUUCCUUCCAACCUUUAGGUUCUACUUAGUACAAUAGUCAACUUUAAUAACUUUAAUAACUUGGUUUAGUUAUUUCAGUCAUGUCCAAAUUCCUCAUGAGCCUAAUUUGGGGUUUUCUUGGCAAAGAUAUUAGAGUGGUUUGCCAUUUCUUUCUCCAGCUCAUUUUGCAGAUGGGGAAUUAAGGCAAAUAGGGUUACAUGGCAUACUUAACAUCAAACAGUAAGCAUCUUUGGCUAGAUUUAAACUCAUGAAGAUGACUGCUUGAUCCCAAGUUCAGUGCUCCAUUCACUGUACCACCUAGAUGCCCAGGUGGGUUUUAAAGCCAUCUAAAAGUGGAAUGGACUGUCUCCUGAGUCAAUGAGUCCCCCUUAAGUAGAGGUCAUAGUGUCAUAGAUUUAGAGUUGGAAGGGACUUUCUGGGUUAUUAUGUCCAAUCCCCUUCAUUUUAAUUUUAGAGAUGAAACUGGAGGAAAAUUGAGGUGAUUUGCUCAGGCUGUCACUUAGGUAGUACCUGAGGUCAAUUAUGAAUGGGGGUCCAUCUGACUAAGCCUAAUACUCUCCACACUGCAUCAUCUGGCUCCCUGAUGACUGGAAGCAAAGCCUUGGUACUCUGUCCUGGAUGUGUUGUAGAAGAACUUCAUUCUUGUUUAGAAUCUCUUUAGACUUGAUGGUUCUCUUGUCUCUUCCAACUCUCAGCAUUCUGGGACUUCCGCUUUAUAAACUAGAUGAGCUCACUAAUUAAGGGGCACUGUGACCUUUUACAGGGCACCCAGCAGGGCUCUCAAAGGAUCCAUUAUGUGUUCACAGUAGGAUAGCACCCAGUUUGGUCCUAAGGCAGCAGGCCAGCCAACCUCAGCCCAGGAGCACAAGGACCGCUCACUGCUGCUGCCUACUCAUUCUCUAUUCAUCAGACAAGGUCAGGACUGGGUUGGGAUGAAAUUGGUCACUGUGUUUGGAAUUAAUCCCAUUUGGGUCUGAUUUCCUGCUUCUCCACAGAAAACAAACUGUCUUUCAUGAUCUGGAUUCAAAGGAUGAAGCAUCUCACUCAGCCUAAGGUAUUCAUAUGACAUCAGAUCUGUUCCUGCUUUCUUUAUUUCCUGCAACCCAGUGAGUACAGUAUUUCAUCUAAAGAGCACAGAGCAAACCACAGACAAAGGAGAUGUUCCCAUCAAAAAACAUUUGGGACCAAUAACUCCAUAGUGAUUGUCACCUGGAGUGUAACUGUACAACUAAAGACAAUUUCUGAGGAACAGAUGGCCUGGAUGGUAGAGGAGAAAGGGGCCAGGAGAAGUAAUAAAUGAAUACUUUGUUCUCUAUUUAAGAAGGCCAAAGACUACUGCAAAUGAAACCCUGGAACUGUUUGAAAAAUACCUUGUACCUUCCCAUGCAGUGAAUCUCCUUUCACUUGAAAAAAAUUCUCAUUUCAAUUGAUUUUUUCCUAUCAGAAGUUACGUUCUAUCUAUGCUGUAUGUUUCUAGAACGCAUUUCCUUUUUUUAAAAAAAUGUUGUCUACCUCAGAAUGCAAGAGCUUUGAAGGAAGGAAAAGGGCAAGAACUGAGUUUUUAAUUUUCUUUGUCUGUCUGUCUCUCUGUGUCUCUCUGUGUCUCUGUGUCUCUUUGUCUCUGUCUCUGUCUCUGUUUCUCUCUCUCUGUCUCUGUCUGUCUCUGUCUGUCUCUCUCUCUCUCUCCCUUUUCUUUUUUGCCUUUGUAUUCUGAACAUUUGGCAUAGGACUCAGAAUUUAACAAGUGCCUAAAAACUGCCAAUCAAUUCAUUGGUUGACAUUGAAUCUAAGAAUUAUUGAUUCCGAGAAAUGUUGCAAAAUGAGUAGACAAAUUUGAUACUCCUAUGGUAAUGGCAUCUUGAAAUAACUGGUUGACUGAGAUCCCAAUCAAUGUUUCUUUUGGGUUCUAAGUCCCAUCCAGGAUGGUAUUUGGCCAAACAGAACUGGUUGAUGAUGUCUCCAAAGAACUUACUCCCCCUUGGUGAUCUGGGCAACAGAAUUACUGAUACCGGAACCUGGCAGCAGCAGAUGCAACAACAGGGAGGGAAAACAGCUUAAAAGGCUGCUGCUGGAUGGGGCUGACGAACUGCCAAUUUUUGUUUACUUCUUUCUGGGCAAGAAGAUCACAGCUGUUUCUUUCCGUAAAAGAUGUAGGAAGAUUUAACGACCUCACCCUGCAGUCUCCCCUCCUCCCAAAUGUUCAUGAAGCCCAACAGCUGGCUUAGAAAAUGCUGUCAGUCAGGAUUUGAAUAGUUUUACAUAAUCUCACAUGGAGGAGAGAAUUCAAGCUCUUUGGUUAGCCAGGUGGCAACAAAAUUCCCUUUUAUGGACUCAUGUGGUCGACUUCCAUGGCAAUUUCUUUUGGAUAUCUGUUGAUUUGGGGGGUGGGGGAUAGGCUAGAAAGAAGUCCAAGUUUAAAGAAAGAAAGAAAGAAAGAAAGAAAGAAAGAAAGAAAGAAAGGGCAAGAAUGGCAAUGGAAGCUUUUUGAAAAUGGGCAUUAUUUACAUUUUGGUUUUGCAUCUCCAAUACCUAGGGAAGUGUCUGGCACAUAGCAGUAGGUUUGUAAUAAGAGUUUGCUGACCCGCUAUUUAUCAGUAAUAAAUAUUAUUUUUUUUACUUGUUGAAAACAAUAGAAACACCAGU